AACGCACCUUGCGCUCGUUGGUAUUCCGACGAGCAUGCCUGUUUGAGUGUCAUUAAAUUCUCAACCUCAUCGCUUUUGUGAUGAUGGCUUGGAAGUGGAGGUUUUUUGCAGGCUGAAAAGUCUGCUCCUCUCAAAUGAAUUAGUGGGUGCCCCGCGCAAACCUAUCUAUUGGUGUGAUAAUUAUCUACGCCGUGGAUCCUUAGGAUUGCUGUAAAAAGGUGUUUGCCCUGCUUCUAACCGUCUUCGGACAACUUGAACCAUUUGACCUCAAAUCAGGUAGGACUACCCGCUGAACUUAA
rnacentral:misc_RNA from 2 species